CACCCGGACCCAUCCCGAACCCGGAAGUUAAGCCUGCCAGCGCCGAUGGUACUGCCCCCGAGAGGGCGUGGGAGAGUAGGACGCCGCCGAAC
rnacentral:rRNA from 2 species